CGUGAGACCCCUGGGUCACUGUCACCACCACCAGAUGGAUUUUGGCCUUCCCAGCCUCAGAAACACCCACUCCACUUCCUGUCCCAAUGGGAGCCCAUACUUGGAGAAGCAGAUACAGAGUGAAAAGCAAGCUACCAGAAAGUCAGCUAAUUCCAGUUAGAGAAAAGAGGCCACGCUGCUGUGCAUCACACUAAAGGGCCACAGGGCUGCCUUGGAUCAGGACUUGGCUUUUGAACAGGGAAGCCCACACAGUGUUGACUUCAUCCUGAGACUGGCUUCCUUCAUGGUGACGAGAUGGCUCCAGAGACCACAGGGCUGCCUGUUUCCUUUCCUCAUGUUCAGCAGCAAAGAAAAAGAGAGACCUC